AGGGUUUGAUCCUGGCUCAGAUUGAACGCUGGUGGUAUGCUUAACACAUGCAAGUCGAACGGUAACAUUGGAGCUUGCUCCAGAUGACGAGUGGCGGACGGGUGAGUAACGCGUAGGAAUCUGCCUAGUAGUGGGGGACAACAUGUGGAAACGCAUGCUAAUACCGCAUACGCCCUACGGGGGAAAGCGGGGGAUCUUCGGACCUCGCGCUAUUAGAUGAGCCUGCGUUAGAUUAGCUUGUUGGUGGGGUAAUGGCCUACCAAGGCGACGAUCUAUAGCUGGUCUGAGAGGACGAUCAGCCACACUGGGACUGAGACACGGCCCAGACUCCUACGGGAGGCAGCAGUGGGGAAUAUUGGACAAUGGGCGCAAGCCUGAUCCAGCAAUACCACGUGUGUGAAGAAGGCCUGAGGGUUGUAAAGCACUUUCAAUUGGGAGGAAAACAGCUGGGUUAAUAGCCCUGCUCUUGACAUUACCUUUAGAAGAAGCACCGGCUAACUCCGUGCCAGCAGCCGCGGUAAUACGGAGGGUGCGAGCGUUAAUCGGAAUUACUGGGCGUAAAGCGUACGUAGGCGGUUAUUUAAGUCAGAUGUGAAAGCCCCGGGCUCAACCUGGGAACUGCAUUUGAAACUGGAUAACUAGAGUUUGAUAGAGGAGAGUAGAAUUUCUGGUGUAGCGG
rnacentral:rRNA from 1 species